CCAAGGAGUCUAACAUGUGCGCGAGUCAUCGGGUCUUGUUUAGGCCCGUAGGCGGAAUGAAAGUGAAGGGCGAUUCAGUCGUCUGCGUUGGGAUUUUGAUCACUCGUGGUCAAAAGCACCAACGGCCCGUCCCAAUCGCCGCGUCGAUGGGGCGGAGCGAGAGCGUACACGUUGGGACCCGAAAGAUGGUGAACUAUGCCUGGGCAGGACGAAGCCAGAGGAAACUCUGGUGGAGGUCCGCAGCGAUUCUGACGUGCAAAUCGAUCGUCAGACCUGGGUAUAGGGGCGAAAGACUAAUCGAACCAUCUAGUAGCUGGUUCCCUCCGAAGUUUCCCUCAGGAUAGCUGGCGCUCGGAGGAGUCAUUCUCAUCCGGUAAAGCGAAUGAUUAGAGGCCUUGGGGCCGAAACGACCUCAACCUAUUCUCAAACUUUAAAUGGGUGAGAAGUCCGGCUUGCUCGACUGAAGCCCGGACGCAAGGAUGCGAGUGCCCAGUGGGCCACUUUUGGUAAGCAGAACUGGCGCUGUGGGAUGAACCAAACGCCGGGUUAAGGCGCCCGAUGCGAGACGCUCAUGAGACCCCAUGAAAGGUGUUGGUUGCUAUAGACAGCAGGACGGUGGCCAUGGAAGUCGGAAUCCGCUAAGGAGUGUGUAACAACUCACCUGCCGAAGCAACUAGCCCUGAAAAUGGAUGGCGCUUCAGCGUCGAGCCCAUACCCGGCCGUCGCGGCUGCAGGUUGUACCUUAGGUCGCGGCGAGUAGGAGGGCGCAGGGGUGUGCGUUGAAGGUGCCGGGCGUGAGCCCGUCUGGAGCCGCCCCUGGUGCAGAUCUUGGUGGUAGUAGCAAAUACUCAAGUGAGAACCUUGAGGACUGAGGUGGAGAAGGGUUCCAUGUGAACAGCAGUUGAACAUGGGUCAGUCGGUCCUAAGGGAUAGGAGAAAUCCGUUCCGAAGCGGGACCUUCUCUGCGUGGCUGGUCCCGCCGCAGACCGAAAGGGAAUCGGGUUAAUAUUCCCGAACCCGGACACGGAGAUCGACCCCUUACGGGGUUCAGUGCGGUAACGCAAACGACCUCGGAGACGUCGACGGGAGUCCCGGAACGAGUUGUCUUUUCUUUGUAAGGGCUCGGCUCCCUGGAAUCGGCUCGCCCGGAGAUAGGGAUGCUGUACCCGUAAAGCACCGCGCCUCUUGCGGUGUCCGGAGCGCUCCCGUCGGCCCUUGAAAAUCCGAGCGAGAGAUUGUGAUUUUCGUGCCGGACCGUACCCAUA
rnacentral:rRNA from 1 species